rnacentral:rRNA from 1 species
UACAGAGGUCCCAAGCGUUUGUUCGGAUUCACUGGGCGUAAAGGGUGCGUAGGUGGUGAGGUAAGUCGGAUGUGAAAUCUCCGGGCUCAACCCGGAAAUGGCAUUGGAAACUACCUUGCUAGAGGAUUUGAGGGGGGGAUUGGAAUACUUGGUGUAGCAGUGAAAUGCGUAGAUAUCAAGUGGAACACCAGUGGCGAAGGCGAAUCCCUGGAAAAUACCUGACACUGAGGCACGAAAGCUAGGGGAGCAAA